rnacentral:rRNA from 1 species
AUUGAACGCUGGCGGCAGGCCUAACACAUGCAAGUCGAACGGUAACAGGAAGAAGCUUGCUUCUUUGCUGACGAGUGGCGGCCGGGUGAGUAAUGUCUGGGAAACUGCCUGAUGGAGGGGGAUAACUACUGGAAACGGUAGCUAAUACCGCAUAACGUCGCAAGACCAAAGAGGGGGACCUUCGGGCCUCUUGCCAUCGGAUGUGCCCAGAUGGGAUUAGCUAGUAGGUGGGGUAACGGCUCACCUAGGCGACGAUCCCUAGCUGGUCUGAGAGGAUGACCAGCCACACUGGAACUGAGACACGGUCCAGACUCCUACGGGAGGCAGCAGUGGGGAAUAUUGCACAAUGGGCGCAAGCCUGAUGCAGCCAUGCCGCGUGUAUGAAGAAGGCCUUCGGGUUGUAAAGUACUUUCAGCGGGGAGGAGGGGAGUAAAGUUAAUACCUUUGCUCAUUGACGUUACCCGCAGAAGAAGCACCGGCUAACUCCGUG